CCUACGGGGGGCAGCAGUGGGGAAUAUUGGACAAUGGGGGGAACCCUGAUCCAGCCAUGCCGCGUGUGUGAAGAAGGCCCUCGGGUUGUAAAGCACUUUCAGUGAGGAAGAACGCCUGGUGGUUAAUACCCAUCAGGAAAGACAUCACUCACAGAAGAAGCACCGGCUAACUCCGUGCCAGCAGCCGCGGUAAUACGGAGGGUGCGAGCGUUAAUCGGAAUUACUGGGCGUAAAGCGCGCGUAGGUGGCUUGAUAAGCCGGUUGUGAAAGCCCCGGGCUCAACCUGGGAACGGCAUCCGGAACUGUCAAGCUAGAGUGCAGGAGAGGAAGGUAGCAUUCCCGGUGUAGCGGUGAAAUGCGUAGAGAUCGGGAGGAAUACCAGUGGCGAAGGCGGCCUUCUGGACUGACACUGACACUGAGGUGCGAAAGCGUGGGUAGCAAACAGGAUUAGAUACCCUUGUAGUC
rnacentral:rRNA from 1 species